UACAGAGGGGGGCAAGCGUUAUUCGGAAUUAUUGGGCGUAAAGGGCGCGUAGGCGGCUUGGCAAGUGGAUGGUGAAAUCCCUCGGCUUAACCGAGGAACUGCCGUCCAAACUGCUUAGCUUGAGACCGGGAGAGGUGAGUGGAAUUCCCAGUGUAGCGGUGAAAUGCGUAGAUAUUGGGAGGAACACCAGUGGCGAAGGCGGCUCACUGGACCGGAACUGACGCUGAUGCGCGAAAGCGUGGGGAGCAAACGGG
rnacentral:rRNA from 1 species